CAUCAGCGGCAGACGGGUGAGUACACGUAGGUACCUACCCCAGAGACAGGGAUACCCGAGGAGGCGAGGGCUACUACCGGAUGACCUCCGGAAGGAGGACAGGCUCAGGCGCUCUGGGAGGGGCUUGCGGNCCAUCAGCUAGUUGGUAGGGUAAAGGCCUACCAAUGCGAAGACGGGUAGGGGGUGUGAGAGCACGGCCCCCCACAAUGGGACUGAAACACGGCCCAUACUCCUACGGGANGCAGCAGCAGGGAGAGUAGUUGCNCAAUAUGCGAAAGCCUGAUGCAGCGACGCCGCGUGAGUGAAGAAGGCCUUCGGGUCGUAAAGCUCUUUUGUAGGGGAAGAGGAAGGGCGGUACCCUAAGAAGAAGCGUCGGCUAACUACGUGCCAGCAGCCGCGGUAAGACGUACGACGCGAGCGUUAUCCGGAAUUACUGGGCGUAAAGGGCCAGAAGGCGGCUUGGUAAGUUGUGCGUGAAAGCCUCGUGCUCAACGCGAGGAAGCCG
rnacentral:rRNA from 1 species